CCCUGCUUUUCUGCUGCGGAUGCUUUGCCUUUGGACCUUGGAGGCCAUUGGAUUACAACUACAGGUGAUACUGGACAAGGAAGGAAGUGCAAUGCUUGGCAGCCACUGCAUGUACUCCUGAGCAAGAGCUAUUGAGCAAGCGACACAGACCCUGGAGACAGGGGCGGAGCAGGUGUCCAUUCUUUGACACAAAUCUUAGUUCUUGGACUCCGUGCAUGGUAACAUAAGCCGUACUCCAUGGUCCAGUCCUCCGUGAAUGGCAUCACAGGAAGGGAAGCACUCCAGCCAUGGCAGGUGGUGUUGGUACAUCUGUGAACUGCCAUUCGCUUGGGCCGUCAUACAGGCGUGCGUGAUACACCAUCCGACAUCAGUAUCCGUGGUAAAUUGAUAAUCGGUGGUACACCGUACACCUGUACAGUACAGGCUGCUUCUGGAUCAGUGGCUGAUGUACCCACAACGGUAGAUGAUGAUGCUGCACGCCUGCACCCUAGCCCUUGUGCUUGGAUAGGCGUGCGUACGUUACACAUCAGAUGAGACGUCAGUAAAAUGCUACUUCAUCUGUCCCAAAAUAUCACGAGUACAUAUUUUAUUGGCUUUCAAAUUACUAAACAUUGAUCAGGUUUAUAGAAAAAAAAAACUAGCGGCAUCUAGAAUGCGUUAUGUUUGAAAUUUAAAUGUUAAUAUAUUUUGCUAUGAGUUUGGUUAAACUCUAGAAAGUUUGACAAUCAACAUAUGUUUUGGAACAGAGUGCGUACUUCUUUAUGUCCUGUAACAAUUUGCAAGUUACGAUGAUUACAAACCUGACAACUACAAUACAGAUGUUUCUCAAUCAGGAAUAGUUCUACAUAGAGUAUUGCUUACAUGAGAAAAUUGCGUUAGGUUUACAAGCUUAUCAGAUGAGACCA